CGCUGCCCACGCGACCAGGCCACGCCAGCCAAAUUCCGACGCAAACCCUAAGCCAGCCGGCCAGCUCUCGCCACUCACCCACGCGGCGCGGGGCCCAAUGGUGGAGGUGGCGCUGGCCCAAGGGAGGACGGGGGCGGCAGGGAGGAGAGCACCGUCAAGCUCUUCGUCGGCCAGGUGCCCAAGCUCAUGACCGAGGCCAAGCUGGCCGCCAUGAUCCGCGACAAGGCCACCAAGGUCUCGCGAGGUUCGUACGGAUCCGUACAUCCCAACCCGCACCGCCGGGGUUUCAUUCCCUCCACCCCGUUUCCUUCCAUGCCUGCCCGUCUCUUCGUUUUUUUCUUCUUCUCGCGGGUCGGGAUCUGGGCGCGGUUCUGCGGGAACAUGGUUCUGUUGCUCUGCAUUUUCCGCGCUUCCUCCAUGGGGGCCAAUGCAUGCCGCACAGGAAACUUGAGCUGGCUGGUUUCUCUCUGUUCCGGCCAAAAUGUUUCUUGCUCUGCUGCUGGGAAUUGGGCUCCUUCAUGGCGGUUCAGGUUCGAUGUGGUGGGGGAAUUUCAUGCGAGGGUUGCGUUGAACUGUGAACAUCUGGUACGGUGUGAGCUCCACUGUGGAGAAAAGUCAAAACAUCUAUCCACGUCCGCUUCAUUCACCCCAUGUUUCAUUUUGAGGUGCUUGUCUCGCACGUAGGAGCUUUGGGUUGAUUGAGAUUCUCCGAUUUUGGACUCUUGUUAGUCACCAUUUUAGAAUGUCCUCAUUUGUUGGGUUUAGGUGCAUAAGGUACACCAGAUUUAUAAAUUUGAUCACUCUUAAAUCUUCAUAUAGUUGCGUAUAUCACUUUCAGGAAAAUAUAUGAAAUUCUGUAAUUGUUUAAUUUGUAUAUCACUCUUAAAUCUUCAGAUAGUUGCAUAUAGUGCCUGAAUUUAUAUAAUUUGUAUUGGCAAAAUAACUAGACAUCUAAUAUGUUGGCUUUACUUUGUAAUUAGUAGUAUCAAAGAUCUGCUUGGAUUGUCAUUUUGUCAGUGCAGACACUAUAAGCAAGUACUUAUUCUCACCUGUUGUUGAUCAAAAUAAAUAUUGCAGGGAGUUGGCUGCAGCGCUAAUUAGCACACCAUUGUAACUGCUUGUGUCUCUGCAUCAUUUUCCAUAUUCUGUGUUAAUACCAAAAAAAUGGCCACCCCUUGACUUUUGCUCACGCUUCGCUACUGGUUUCAGGUAAAAGCUUGUGUCAUAUAACUGGUAAUCUGUUUGCUGUGUUGUGUUGUCUAUUGAAUGCUGGGUUUCAGGUAGAUGCACAAUCCUUACAUAUUGACAUUGAUAAACUGCUUGCUGAUAACCUCUGCACCGUUGCUGCUGCACGCAUUCUGCCGCCCCCUCCAAGCUGGAUGCCGGUUACGAUGAAGAAGAAAAUGACGAGGAAGACCAGAGUCUGAUGAAGGCCACAGUCUGGCUUUCCUGCGAGGACGAGCGCUGGCGACGCUCUCAGCUGCCUGCGGGCGGCGCAGAUAGAAUGUCGGACGCGGUGCGCUGCAUGGCAUUCCUGGUAUGCUACCUCCGUGGGUGGGCAGGGUCCCCAAAUAGUGGCUUGACCAUCUCUGUCCCCUAUCUCACCAUUGCUAGGGUGCACUCACAUUCAGUAAGCAAAGUCUGGACGGUUGGACUAGGUCAUGUUAAGUUUGUGACCUGCACUGAAUUUUUCUGGUCAUCCUUUUGAUAAGUGAAAUUAAGUACGUUGAACCAUUCAUUAUAAUUGAAAUAUCAAGGUGUAUGUGCUAAUUCUCUGUUCUAUUGCCUUUAUUAUGCUCAUGGUUCAUUGUAGCAUUUUAAUAUGCAUGACUCUUGAAUUGGCCAGUAGGAAGGCGUCAUGGCACCCUCUCUGCCACCAAAGUCACAAUUGAAGAAUAUGGUAACUUGUCUUGCUCAUUUCAUUUGUCACUAUAUUAAUAUAACUUCUACAAGGGAAAUCGAACUUUACUGGGUGUUAAGUUUAUUGAGACUAGAUUGUUGAUGAAAUGCAUAUAGUUGGGAAGAUCAUGUUUGAUAGAAGAUUCAAUGUAAUUAGACACUUCUUUUCCACUUAUAUAUGUUGAGCUAUCCCUUCAGAACUAUGAAAGCAGUAGAAAAUCACGCUUGAAUUAUUUUCUAGGCAUCUUAUAAAUAAUUUCAUACCAUGCAAAUAUGUUACGCAAAUAUGCAAAUCUCUGACAUGUUUCAUGAGGCGGAGGGAAGUAUACUGCUUGGGUUGUCAUUAACUCAAUCCUUGUGAUGAAUUAUGUUGACAGAGAUAACGUACAAUAGAGGUAACAUCACUCGUGCUCAUCAAGAGUGGGAGAUGUGGCAAGAUUAUGUGGUAUGUACUUCUUUGCAUUGGAAAAAAUUCACCUAACUAUAUCUACUGGCUCCAGUUUGAUCUUGAUUUGUUAUGGGAACAACAAAGACACCAUGUAAGGAUUUUGAUUUUCAUGUAGUUAUAUAUAGCUAUUGUUUAAAUUGACAUCAUUGUUCUGCUGGAGGAGUUGUGCAGAAUCGCCAUUGAGAAGUUCAUGAUAGCGUUCUUCUGAUCCACUUUCUUAUAGUGCCAUUGAGCUCCUUCGCCAGUUCUUCAUCGAGAUAGCCUCAACACAUCAUCGGCAAGCAGCAGAACGAGGCGACCACGUUGGCUUGGGACACCAAGAUUUCCACAAGACUCCGUCUUACUUCCCUUCUUUUUCAACCCCACCACGUAUUAUGUUAUCAUUUGUCCAGCAUGAAUUACUUGGAACAGUGUGGAGCCUUCGGGCUCAUACCUUGGGACUUUUAUGGUAAGUUCCACAUGAGGUAUGUUAUUAUUUUGAGUUUUAUAUUAUACAGAUUAAUGAACCGCUCCCCCUUGUUUAUUAAAGCAGCAAGGAUUGUUCUACUUGUACAGGCGUAGUGUAUACCUUCUCGUAAAUGAGAAGACAUCAAGAAUUCCAGUACUAUGAGCUUACCAUUUAUUGGCUUAAUCCAUUGUAUUUACAUUUGCUUCCACUCCCGUUUUGCGAUGUUGAUUAGUGUGAUGGAUGGCGAAACUAAGAUGUUUGAUCUUUCUUUACAAAUAUAGUUUUCAAAUAUUCGUUAGUUUCAGAUAGAGUGAUACUAUCAGUAAGCAUUGGUAUGCCUGUUUAUUCUUCAAAAAUAAGUAGUACUUCUAUAUGCAUAGAUUCAUUUUCGCAUGCUCUUCAAAAUGAGUACAUGACAGUCCAGGAUGGGAGUUAGCUAUAAUUUUGUUUGCAGUGGCACAAUACAAGAGUAAGCUACAUCUCACACAUUCUUAUGCCUUAAUUAGGUUCAGAGUUCAGGAGAUAAUUACCAUUUGUUGACUUAGUCCAUUGUAUAUACAUUUGCUUCCACUCCUGUUGUGGGAUGUUGAUCAGGAGAUAAUUACCGAGACUAAGAGGUUUGAUCUUUCUUUACAAAUAUAGUUUGAAUAUAUUCGUUAGUUUCAGAUAGAGUGAUACUAUCAGUAAGCAUUGUUACACUAGAAAUGCUCUAUUUGUUCUUCAGAAGUAAGUUGUACUUCUAGCUGCAUAGAUUCAUUUUCGCCUUCUCUUCAGAAUGAGUAUAUGAUAGAUGAUGGUAGUUAGCUAUAACUGUGUGGCACAAUACAAGAGUAAGCUAGCUCUCACAUAUUCAUAUGCCUUCAGUAGCAUAUUUUGAAUUUCAUGUAGGUUCAGGUUUAGAGUUCAGGAGAUAUGAUAUACGCAAAAGAUAUUUAUUUGUUUGUUAAUCACUGAAUUGUAGAACUUUGUUGUGCAGGAUCAAUUUGAAAAUAUUCGCCAGCAUAUUGUCACACAGAGGCAGUGAAACUACAAUCAAAUCUGCUCAUGUUGGUUUGCCAAGAGUGAAAGCAUGUGGAAUUCAAGAUUACUUUGGAGGAUUAUUUGGAGUUUGUGCCACAACAUAUAGUGCGGUAGGUAGGGGAGGGGGAUGGUCUUCUUACCGGCAGUGAGGAGGCAGCGGAACACCGACGGUCAAAGUGAAGCUCUAGAGUGGGAACUAGGGAGCAUUAAUGUGAGUGCAUGUGUGUUUUUGGUGUUUAUUGGUAGUUUUCUCAAGAAUCUGUUAGGACAUGGUGCGGUCAAUAUGGAAAGUUCUCUAUGAUUUUUUGGAUUUAUAUUAAACUAUCAAAAUAAGCUCUUCAUUUUUAUGUGUAUGUUCCAUAAAUGCACUUCAAACAAUUAAA